rnacentral:rRNA from 1 species
UACGGAGGGUGCAAGCGUUGUUCGGAAUUACUGGGCGUAAAGCGCGCGUAGGUGGCUUUUUAAGUCAGGUGUGAAAGACCUCGGCUCAACCGAGGAACGGCGCCUGAAACUGAAUAGCUUGAGUGUCGAGGAGGAAAGCAGAAUUCCUGGUGUAGAGGUGAAAUUCGUAGAUAUCAGGAGGAAUACCGGCGGCGAAAGCGGCUUUCUAAUCGACCACUGACACUGAGGCGCGAAAGCGUGGGGAUCAAACAGG